ACGGAAGGCAGCAGUGGGGAAUAUUGCACAAUGGGCGCAAGCCUGAUGCAGCAACGCCGCGUGAGGGAAGACGGUCUUCGGAUUGUAAACCUUUGUCUUUGGUGAAGAAGAAAGUGACGGUAGCCAAGGAGGAAGCCACGGCUAACUACGUGCCAGCAGCCGCGGUAAUACGUAGGUGGCAAGCGUUGUCCGGAUUUACUGGGUGUAAAGGGAGCGCAGGCGGGACAGCAAGUUGGAUGUGAAAUACCGAGGCUUAACCCCGGAGCUGCAUCCAAAUCUGUUGUUCUUGAGUGAAGUAGAGGUAGGCGGAAUUCCGAGUGUAGCGGUGAAAUGCGUAGAUAUUCGGAGGAACACCAGUGGCGAAGGCGGCCUACUGGGCUUUAACUGACGCUGAGGCUCGAAAGUGUGGG
rnacentral:rRNA from 1 species